UGGUGUUGAUGUGCUCCAGAGGGACAUUUCUGUGCCAGUUAGUCUGCUAAGCAUCAGCAGCUGCUGAUCAGCUUCAAUCAGUGAUGGUGUGCGUCUGCGCCGGGAAAUCUUCCUCAGAUUGAGGCCCUCGCACAUAAUCAACAAGCAGGAUUCAGGAACACACAAGUCAUCUCCAGAAAGGCCAAAACAAUUAUUUACCUGAGGCCAGCGAGGCCUCUGCUCUUACCUUUAUUAAGUGCUGGAUGCUUUGUUUUGUAAUAGUUCGACCUUUCCGUCUGAUGGUUUAUUGACUGCCAACACGCCUCAGAAAGAUGGCAGUCAGAAGAAAAAAAAAAGGAAACUGAGUGUGUUUAUCAACAAUCAGUGUCUGGACUCAUUGUUUCUGAGACGAUGAGAAAGAUGGAAAACAAUUACCACAAUUCAUUAAAACCAGAUUAAAAAAA